rnacentral:rRNA from 1 species
UUGUCUCAAAGAUUAAGCCAUGCAUGUCUAANGUAUAAGNAAUUAUACAGCGAAACUGCGAAUGGCUCAUUAUAUAAGUUAUCGUUUAUUUGAUAGUACCUUACUACUUGGAUAACCGUGGUAAUUCUAGAGCUAAUACAUGCUAAAAAUCCCGACUUCGGAAGGGAUGUAUUUAUUAGAUUAAAAACCAAUGCCCUCUGGGCUCCUUGGUGAUUCAUGAUAACUUCUCGAAUCGCAUGGCCUUGCGCCGGCGAUGGUUCAUUCAAAUUUCUUCCCUAUCAACUUUCGAUGUUUGGGUAGUGGCCAAACAUGGUUGCAACGGGUAACGGAGGGUUAGGGCUCGACCCCGGAGAAGGAGCCUGAGAAACGGCUACUACAUCCAAGGAAGGCAGCAGGCGCGCAAAUUACCCAAUCCCGACACGGGGAGGUAGUGACAAUAAAUACUGAUACAGGGCUCUUUUGGGUCUUGUAAUUGGAAUGAGUACAAUUUAAAUCCCUUAACGAGGAACAAUUGGAGGGCAAGUCUGGUGCCAGCAGCCGCGGUAAUUCCAGCUCCAAUAGNCGUAUAUUAAAGUUGUUGUGGUUAAAAAGCUCGUAGUUGAACCUUGGGCCUGGCUGGCCGGUCCGCCUCACCGCGUGUACUGGUCCGGCCGGGCCUUUCCCUCUGUGGAACCCCAUGCCCUUCACUGGGUGUGGCGGGGAAACAGGACUUUUACUUUGAAAAAAUUAGAGUGCUCCAGGCAGGCCUAUGCUCGAAUACAUUAGCAUGGAAUAAUGAAAUAGGACGUGCGGUUCUAUUUUGUUGGUUUCUAGGACCGCCGUAAUGAUUAAUAGGGACAGUCGGGGGCAUCAGUAUUCAAUUGUCAGAGGUGAAAUUCUUGGAUUUAUUGAAGACUAACUACUGCGAAAGCAUUUGCCAAGGAUGUUUUCAUUAAUCAGGAACGAAAGUUAGGGGAUCGAAGACGAUCAGAUACCGUCGUAGUCUUAACCAUAAACUAUGCCGACUAGGGAUCGGACGAUGUUAUUUUUUGACUCGUUCGGCACCUUACGAGAAAUCAAAGUGCUUGGGCUCCAGGGGGAGUAUGGUCGCAAGGCUGAAACUUAAAGGAUNGG